AAGGUGCCACAAGUACUCCUUUUCUAACUACUGUAAUUAACUAAAUAAUGCACUGUGGAUAGCAGUGGGAGGGAAAAUGUAAUCCUCAAACAAACAGCACUGGAAUGUGCUGGACUUUCCUCCUGAAUUUGGUUCUUUCAUACUUAUAGCUGUAGACACAGAAGAAAGAUAACUAUGGAACUACACGAUAUUAUUGGACAAAGAUGGUGCUAAAUGAUGCCCUUUUAUCCUUGGAUUGUGGCAUUCCUUCAGACCAUUUAGGGGGACAAUCUCUUAUUUGGGACGAUCAGCUGCCCACCAUCAUGGAGUCCCAGAUCAGAGACUUCUGCUAUGUCAUCAUCACUGAAUCCAGCACCCAUGAACUAGGCUGUAGAAUCAAGGUAAAUAAGGGCUUUCCAGUUUCACACAUAAAGGGAAUGGUGUCAAUGAAGACAAAUGCCAUUUAAAAAUGAAAUCUAUUUUCACAUUUCCUCUGUGAUUAUCAGGAACAAAUGCAAGUUUAAAAAGCUGUUUUAAGGACUAUCAACCAUCACAUUCUGUCCUUAAAGCAAACAGAACAGUAUCAACAUAUUUACAGUAGAGGUAAUGAUUGAAAAAAAUAGCAACGCAUUUUUAAGGCACACACAUUUAGAUGAAU